GAGGUUAAUAACCUCAGUGAUUGACGUUACUCGCAGAAGAAGCACCGGCUAACUCCGUGCCAGCAGCCGCGGUAAUACGGAGGGUGCAAGCGUUAAUCGGAAUUACUGGGCGUAAAGCGCACGCAGGCGGUCUGUCAAGUCGGAUGUGAAAUCCCCGGGCUCAACCUGGGAACUGCAUUCGAAACUG
rnacentral:rRNA from 1 species